rnacentral:rRNA from 1 species
GAUGAACGCUGGCGGCGUGCUUAACACAUGCAAGUCGAGCGAGAAAAGUUCUUCGGAGCUUUUCUAGCGGCGGACGGGUGAGUAACACGUGGGCAACCUGCCUCAUAGAGGGGAAUAGCCUUCCGAAAGGAAGAUUAAUACCGCAUAACAUUGUUGAAAGGCAUCUUUUAACAAUCAAAGGAGCAAUCCGCUAUGAGAUGGGCCCGCGGCGCAUAGCUAGUUGGUGAGGUAACGGCUCACCAAGGCGACGAUGCGUAGCCGACCUGAGAGGGUGAUCGGCCACAUUGGAACUGAGACACGGUCCAGACUCCCACGGGAGGCAGCAGUGGGGAAUAUUGCACAAUGGGGGAAACCCUGAUGCAGCAACGCCGCGUGAGUGAUGAAGGUCUUCGGAUUGUAAAGCUCUGUCUUUAGGGACGAUAAUGACGGUACCUAAGGAGGAAGCCACGGCUAACUACGUGCCAGCCGCCGCAGUAAGAC